AUUGAGCGCUGGCGGCAGGCCUAACACAUGCAAGUCGAGCGGAUGAAGGGAGCUUGCUCCUGGAUUCAGCGGCGGACGGGUGAGUAAUGCCUAGGAAUCUGCCUGGUAGUGGGGGAUAACGUCCGGAAACGGGCGCUAAUACCGCAUACGUCCUGAGGGAGAAAGUGGGGGAUCUUCGGACCUCACGCUAUCAGAUGAGCCUAGGUCGGAUUAGCUAGUUGGUGGGGUAAAGGCCUACCAAGGCGACGAUCCGUAACUGGUCUGAGAGGAUGAUAAGUCACACUGGAACUGAGACACGGUCCAGACUCCUACGGGAGGCAGCAGUGGGGAAUAUUGGACAAUGGGCGAAAGCCUGAUCCAGCCAUGCCGCGUGUGUGAAGAAGGUCUUCGGAUUGUAAAGCACUUUAAGUUGGGAGGAAGGGCAGUAAGUUAAUACCUUGCUGUUUUGACGUUACCAACAGAAUAAGCACCGGCUAACUUCGUG
rnacentral:rRNA from 1 species